rnacentral:rRNA from 1 species
GACGAGGGGCCUAGCGUUGUUCGGAAUUACUGGGCGUAAAGCGGGUGUAGGCGGAUCUAUAAGUCAGGUGUGAAAUCCCGAAGCUCAACUUCGGAACUGCAUUUGAUACUGUAGAUCUUGAGUACUGGAGAGGAUAGCAGAAUUCCUGGUGUAGUGGUGAAAUACGUAGAUAUCAGGAGGAAUACCGGUGGCGAAGGCGGCUAUCUGGCCAGAUACUGACGCUGAGCAACCCGGAA